CAUUUGUCCAAGUAAACCAAUGUCAAAAAUUGUUCAUUUGAGGUUGAUAUUUCCCCAUUUAUAUGUCAGUCAUUUAUUAUCUUCCUUUCUCCCGUGGAAUUGUCUUUCCAAGACACGACUUCCUUUCCAUGACAUUGCCAUUAUGUCACAGUUGAGUUGUGAUUAUCUCUUCCAAAACAAGUUUCAAACUGCAGCGAAACAUCGUAAGUGUCUCUCGUGAUGGACAUACAUGAAGUAAAAGAAUUACACAAUUGGCGAAGUUUGGGGAUGCUGGCCGUCUGGAUGAAGUUUGCAAGCCUGAGAGUUCACACAACAUGAGAUUUAGAACCAUGCUACAGAAGAAUGAAGAAGCAGAACACGAGAACACUCGCAAAAGAAACCUUCGUUGUGAUCGAACUUAUGAACAUGUUUUGAAUAUUGUAAUACUGUUAGACUUCAUACAGUGCAUACCUUAGUUCAAC
rnacentral:lncRNA from 1 species